rnacentral:rRNA from 1 species
GUUGUAUGGUUAAGCGACUAAGCGUAUACGGUGGAUGCCUUGGCAGUCAGAGGCGAUGAAGGACGUAGUAACUUGCGAAAAGCGUUGGCGAGC